rnacentral:rRNA from 1 species
GACGAACGCUGGCGGCGUGCUUAACACAUGCAAGUCGAACGGAAAGGCCCUGCUUUUGUGGGGUGCUCGAGUGGCGAACGGGUGAGUAACACGUGAGUAACCUGCCCUUGACUUUGGGAUAACUUCAGGAAACUGGGGCUAAUACCGGAUAGGAGCUCCUGCUGCAUGGUGGGGGUUGGAAAGUUUCGGCGGUUGGGGAUGGACUCGCGGCUUAUCAGCUUGUUGGUGGGGUAGUGGCUUACCAAGGCUUUGACGGGUAGCCGGCCUGAGAGGGUGACCGGACACAUUGGGACUGAGAUACGGCCCAGACUCCAACGGGAGGCAACAGUGGGGAAUAUUGCACAAUGGGCGGAAGCCUGAUGCAGCAACGCCGCGUGCGGGAUGACGGCCUUCGGGUUGGAAACCGCUUUCGCCUGUGACGAAGCGUGAGUGACGGUAAUGGGUAAAGAAGCACCGGCUAACUACGUG